rnacentral:lncRNA from 1 species
GGGAGUAAAACUACUGAAUUGGGCCACAAGCAAAUGAAUAAACUGAACGACUCUUAACCAAACCUAAUAUAUUUAAUCCAAACACACAAGUCUUUCAUUUCUUCCCUCCUCCCUUCCUUCUCUUACUCCCCAACACCCCCUCUUCAAGCACAAUUAAUUAUAUGGUUAGAUUCUACUGCGUGAUCAGCCCUGUUCUAGGUGGUGGGCACGCCAAGGUGAAUGAGACCAAACAAGAGUCUUGCCCUCAUGGGGUUUACAUUUGGAGACAGAGUCGAUCUGUUGCCCAACCUGGAGUGCAGUGGCGCGAUCACAGCUCACUGCAGCCUCAAACUCCCUGGCUCAAGGGGUUCUCCCACCUGAGCCUCCCGACUAGCUGGGACCACAGGUGCACGCCACGACGCCUGGGUUUGUUUGUUUGUUUAAUAGAGACGAAGGUCUCACCAUGUUAUCUGGGCUCAAGCGAUCAUCCCCCCUCCUCCUCCUAAAGUACUGGGAUUACAGUCCCAAGCUAUCUUGCCCGACCUGGGAAACAGACGUUAAGGAAGAUAACAAUCUAUUUUCAGAGAGCGAGUUUAUAAAACCAAUGCAAUGGGUAAAUAUGAAGUGUGAAUAGGAGGAGAAGCUAAAGAGUGGUCGGAGAAUCUAAUGCAAGCUACGGGAGAAAGAAACUCAAGUGCAAAUGCUGCCUCAGGAAUAAACGUAAAAAGAGACUUUCAAGUGCAAAUGCUCCCUCAGGAAUAAAAUAAUCUUGAGACUCUCAAGUGUAAAUGCUGCCUCGGGAGAACCGAACGGCGAGCUGGAGCCCAUACGCAACGAGAUUAGAGAGGAAGGCAGAAGCCAGAGCACAUGAAUAAAUGAGCAUCCAUUUUGUUUCAGAAAUGAUCGGAAACCAUUUGUGGGUUUGUAGAAGCAGGCAUGCGUAGGGAAGCUACGGGAUUCCGCCGAGGAGCGCCAGAGCCUGAGGCGCCCUUUGGUUAUCGCAAGCUGGCUGGCUCACUCCGCACCAGGUGCAAAAGAUGCCUGGGGAUGCGGGAAGGGAAAGGCCACAUCUUCACGCCUUCGCGCCUGGCAUUGUGAGCAACCACUGAGACUCAUUAUAUAACACUCGUUUUCUUCUUGCAACCCUGCGGGCCGCGCGGUCGCGCUUUCUCUGCCCUCCGCCGGGUGGACCUGGAGCGCUUGAGCGGUCGGCGCGCCUGGAGCAGCCAGGCGGGCAGUGGACUAGCUGCUGGACCAGGGAGGUGUGGGAGAGCGGUGGCGGCGGGUACAUGCACGUGAAGCCAUUGCGAGAACUUUAUCCAUAAGUAUUUCAAUGCCGGUAGGGACGGCAAGAGAGGAGGGCGGGAUGUGCCACACAUCUUUGACCUCAGGUUUCUAACGCCUGUUUUCUUUCUGCCCUCUGCAGACAUCCCCGAUUGAAAGAACCAGAGAGGCUCUGAGAAACCUCGGGAAACUUAGAUCAUCAGUCACCGAAGGUCCUACAGGGCCACAACUGCCCCCGCCACAACCCACCCCGCUUUCGUAGUUUUCAUUUAGAAAAUAGAGCUUUUAAAAAUGUCCUGCCUUUUAACGUAGAUAUAUGCCUUCCCCCACUACCGUAAAUGUCCAUUUAUAUCAUUUUUUAUAUAUUCUUAUAAAAAUGU